UUCCCUUCUCUGUUUCAAUGUUGUUUCUCUGCCACAUCUUGCAGGUAGUGUUUGUGAAUACUCUCACUAGUGUAAACAGCUUCUUCAAGACUGAUUUAUGAGUUUUAGUGGGAUUAUAACAUACGUUCUCCCAAAUGAUGUAUAUAUAACCUCAAUAUAAUAAAGCAGAAAAAAAUGUUAAUGCUGCACUACCCAACAAAAUAUUGUCUCCUGUAAUCCUAGCAGAGCUUUGAGGACCAUCUAACCAAAUGCGAGAGGGCAGGAAGGGGUUGAAGUUGGACAGAUGUUUGAUUUACAACUGCUUUUAUCUAUGUCAGAUUUCUCUUUUAAGCUCCUGAGACCAAACAGAGCUUGCUUUAUUUUGUAUACUAACUUUAACAGUGCUACAAGUUUACCUGUGCUUAAUUGCUUGACCAACACCAAAUUCAUGUAAGUAUUCUCUUGUCAUAGAAGAGGGUGUUUUCCAUUUUAUAUAUAUUUUUUAUAGCUCUAAAGGAAAAUCCCAAGCUCAUGAUGUAAAUUUAAACACAGUUAAAAGUGUAUAAAAGGAACCAUUUGUCUCAAGCUUUUUUUUUGAGAAGCAAGGAAGGUACUUGCCUUGCGGAGAAGACUCAUUGAUACAUGGAUUGACACUGCAGGUUAAUAUUGUUAAAUUUUGGUCCUUUCUAUUCAAACUGCAUUUUUAUCUGUCCUCAGAUAAAAAAUGGAAAUGGAUUCAAGAGUGAAAUCAACAAAUGUUUGAAGGAAUUAACAGUAUGCUGCUAAAAAGAACACAAAAGGAACAACUUGUUCUACUAGUACGAAUUAGGUGGACUCAAAUGUUCUAAUUACAGACAAACUUCUGCAAGUCUGACAGCACAUUAUAAUUUAGGCAAGUAAGAAAUGUCAUUGAAGUAAAAAAUCAUGGACUGGCUAACCUAGGACUCACUUAACUCACUUUUACAAGAGGAACAGGGAUGAACUAACUUUCUCAUCUUAAAGCAUAAAAAAUCCCUCCACGUACUGACAUUUUUUGUUUGCUUGUUUCACCUCCUAUUGUUAUUACCUUCUGGAAAAACAAGAAUGGUCAGAGAGAGCAGGUGAGGUGAUGGUUUCUAUGCUGUCAAGAGAUGGUGAACAAAGACAAUGAAAAGAGGGGAAGAUGUGUCAGCUCUGAUAAGAGUGAACAGAGUUGGACAGAACUUCUGGGACUGCUUAGAUGCUGCUUUGCACAUCCUGCAGCUGCUCUGGAUGGACAUAAUCUGGCAUCAGCAAAUCAACCAAAUUUUUGUUUUACUCUCAGCACAUUUUUUCUUUUAAGAUUUUUUUUUUGUAUAUAUA